AUUUGUUGUUGAUUUUAUCAAGAUUUUACUGAUAUUUAACAGAUUUCUGCAGAUUACGAUUACAAAAACGUCGAGAGCCGCAAAGAUAUUAUAACGGAAAAAAGUAUGCUGGGCCAGGCCGGCCCAGCAGAUUCGCCGAUUUUUCAACUUCCCGCAUCUCGCCGGAUCACUAAUAUUCUCCACUCGCAAUCGAAUUUCGUUCCGCAGAGGAAAGCGGAGAGGCUCGAUUCUUCGUGCUCGCCCCAAGCAAUCUGGGCAAGGUGGCAACCACGCCGAGCUGCGAUGAGUGCAAAUUUACGACUUCAAAAGCUGGAAUCCGGCUUUCCAAGCCGGAGGAAUUUGUCCACGAGUUGCAGGCGCUGAACAGGUGCACUUGGCCGUUUAUGAAAACGCAAAUGUGGUCGUCACCUAGGACGGCUUUGGCCACAGUGAGGAUGACAACUUCUGCCCUCGGUCAGUGCUAAUGUGUGGUCUUCUUUUGAGUCCAUCGGGUUUUGCAACAGCAGCUUCCAGCCCAGAUCUCAAAGAUUACAAGCACAAGAACUGCGGCUUAUUCGCAACUCAUUUAGGAAAGGGACUGGGACCUCGUCAUGCAACCUUUUUAUGUCCUAAUUCAAACUGUUUCACUGCCUCCUGAAUUCUAGGACUUUGCAGAGAACGCGAUUUUCAUUUCAUGCAUGUCUUUGGGCAACAGUUCGGCGAAAAUAUGAUCGAGUUGGAGAAUGAGAUACUCGUUGGCUACCCUUUGCAUGUGACCCUUUUGAAGAACCAACAGUCCCUGUUGCUAAUAAACAAAUUUAUUAAAAAGCUCAAAUCUUUGAAGGAAGCUGUAACACUAGUUGGUGGAGACGAAAAGUUAUGGUGUUGAAUGCUUUUUCUUUUACUUUUUUAAGCAAAUACACAAUCCAAUUUAUGUAAAUAUAAUUUUGAAAUUUUUUAUCUUGAGAGUGCGCUUAAGUAAAUAUCCCUCCUAUGUAAGAAGGGACAAGUCAAGACUAUUGAAAGUCCUCUAGGCUUGCAGCAGGCUUGCAGCAAUUUUAAUAAAGACAAUUGAACCUUGGAAACUCUAAACCAUACGCAAUUUUGCAGGGAAAGGACAGAGACGGAACUUUGGUUUUUAUCAACCCCUAUUGCCAGUAUUUUUUAUUUGCAGCUGGUGGACAAUAAGCUGCAAACAAUAAUUGUAGAAAUCCCAUGUCUUCUCUGUGGAUUAUGAGGAAGUUGGAAUUCAAGAGCCCAAGAAGAUGGUCCUCAGGCAGGUGCAAGUUGACAAAACAAUCAAAAUUCUGGAAAAAUUUUCUUUCGGGACCCUAUGAUUUUGCCCAUAAAUGUAUAAAGGUCACAUGCAAGGAACACUUUUGCCAAGGAGGGGAGGACUUAUUUUACAACGUGGAAAUCUUGUCGGUGAAAGUGACACCUCCAGAAAUCCUUUUAAGGUAACAAAUUAUAUGUCAGUCCGAACCAGUCACACACUAAAUUGGCUUCAUAUUAUAA